AGAAUGUUAAGAUUUUUCAAUGCCCACACCCUAAGAAACGGGAUUGAAAAGCAGUGACUUCAAGUAUAACACCAGAGUUUCCAUUUGGAUCCUUGAGUGGCCUUUUCAAAAUGAUGAGCCUGGAAGAGUUACAGACUCUGGCCCAAAAGAACCAAAGUUGAAGGUGGAGAUAUUUUAAGGAUGAGCAGAGCAGAACAACUUAGCAGUGGGAUAUUAAAGGCAACAUGAAUCAAAGAGGAAAAAGGAAAGUCGGGACAUAUGGAGAAAUAGAUGUUUGAGGAAUAUAAGGAAGACAGUGUUUCAAAACUAUUCAUGGAGAGCUGCCUAAUAUUGCUUCUGUGUUCCUCAACACUGUGGACCAUUUUAGACAGUAGACACUGGAACGCACAACAGUGACGGAAAGUGAAUUCUUAAUGGCUGUUUAUCUCAUUAGGCAAAGUUUUUUUCUGCCUUUCCUUAUACUUUACAAGUUUUCAAGCUGAAAAAUUGAAGCUUACAAAACUACAAAUUUAUGAAGGGCGAAGACUACAUUUUCUUUGAAUUCCUACACCAUCUUGCAUGUUAGUGGUUAACCAAGUAUGCAUAGACCUCCCCAUCAACAGGGAGAGUAUGAUGGAUACCCAAUAGCUAGUCAACAUUAGCAGUUCAAUAAGCAAACAAAGUGAGGUGUGGAGAUAAGAGUCUAAGUGCCUGAAGUCAUACUAGAUUGUGGUGCUCAUAGGCAUUUAACGCCUCCUGAGAAGAGACAGUUACUCUAUGAUGAGUGCCUGAGAUUAAGCCGUUUUAGAGCCAAAACUUUUUUAUUUUGUACGUAGUUUAAAAAAUAUACAAGUUAUAAUUGUUAUAAUUAAUGACUCACCCACAUGGAAAGCACCCUUCCAUUUAAACCCUGAAAUAUAACCAUGCUUCUGAAAGCAAA